UUUGUCUAUGAUGCUGUUUCUAUGCUUGAGUUUAACAACCAUGAGAAAACUUACAUGCACUACCAUCUGAGACGAG